rnacentral:snoRNA from 1 species
AUCCCAUGUUGAGGGCACUUCCCCAAUAGCUCCUUGAAUCUUUCCCAUGCUUCAUACAAUGACUCCCCAUCUGCUUGUUGGAAGGAGGUAAUGUCAUUUCUUAGCUU